GACGGGCCCGCACAAGCAGCGGAGCGUGUGGUUAAUUCGAUGCUACACGAAGAACCUUACCAGGGUUUGACAUGCAAGUGGUAGGAAGCCGAAAGGUGACCGACCCUUCGGGGAGCUUGCACAGGUGCUGCAUGGCUGUCGUCAGCUCGUGUCGUGAGAUGUUCGGUUAAGUCCGCUAACGAGCGCAACCCUCACUGUGUGUUAUAUGUGUCACACGGGACCGCCGGUCUUAAGCCGGAGGAAGGUGGGGAUGACGUCAAGUCAGCAUGGCCUUUAUAUCCUGGGCUACACACACGCUACAAUGGCCAACACAAUAGGUUGCUAAGCCGCGAGGUGGAGCCAAUCCAUAAAGUUGGUCUCAGUUCAGAUUGUAGGCUGCAACCCGCCUGCAUGAAGAUGGAGUUGCUAGUAACCGCAGGUCAGCUAUACUGCGGUGAAUACGUUCCCGGGGCUU
rnacentral:rRNA from 1 species